UGGGGAAUCUUGGACAAUGGGGGCAACCCUGAUCCAGCCAUGCCGCGUGAGUGAUGAAGGCCUUAGGGUCGUAAAGCUCUUUCGCCUGUGAAGAUAAUGACGGUAGCAGGUAAAGAAACCCCGGCUAACUCCGUGCCAGCAGCCGCGGUAAUACGGAGGGGGUUAGCGUUGUUCGGAAUUACUGGGCGUAAAGCGCACGUAGGCGGACCAGAAAGUUGGGGGUGAAAUCCCGGGGGCUCAACCCCGGAACUGCCUCCAAAACUAUUGGUCUAGAGUUCGAGAGAGGUGAGUGGAAUUCCAAGUGUAGAGGUGAAAUUCGUAGAUAUUUGGAGGAACACCAGUGGCGAAGGCGGCUCACUGGCUCGAUACUGACGCUGAGGUGCGAAAGUGUGGGGAGCAAACAGGAGUUAGAUACCCUGGGUAGUCCACACCGUAAAACGAUGAAUGCCAGUCGUCGGGUAGCAUGCUAUUCGGUGACACACC
rnacentral:rRNA from 1 species